AGGGAUCCACCAUCUGCAGGCUGCCUGAGUCAUGGCUUUUGUCCAUAAGUCUCUAUCAAAUUUUUUUCCUGAGAUUUCAGAUUUGUCAGCCUCUUUCUUCAGCCUCUCAGCUCCCCCGGCCUUUUGCAGGUAGGUUUGCAUAGGCUGUUCCAGUGCAGAACACACAAGAAAGGACGUGGUGUCAACAGAAACAAAUCCCGAAUAAAGUCAGAGAGUUCAACCAAAAGGAGGGAGUUUGAAUCCAAGACAGAAGUAAACCACACAGAAGAAAGAUUACUCAUGGAAGCUGAGAGCGCAAUGGACUCAGGGAGAAAGUCUGAAGUCAAUCCACCUGGACAGAUGUCACAAACCACCGCCUACCCUGUGAGCCCAGCAGACUUCAAGGAGGCUACUGUAUGCUCUUCAAGCCCUUUGAACUCCCCUAAAAAUCAUUUACUGAGUUCCUAAAAUCAUUUAUGCUUCCCCAUCUCCCUUGCCCCUAAGGGCAUAUAUCCAUCUGUACACCACUCAGUGGUGGGGUAGUCACUCUGAGAUUUUUCUCCCAUCAUAUUAAUAAAUUUGUGUGUCAUAUAUA